rnacentral:rRNA from 1 species
AUUGAACGCUGGCGGCAGGCCUAACACAUGCAAGUCGAACGAGUGGCGGACGGGUGAGUAAUGUCUGGGAAACUGCCUGAUGGAGGGGGAUAACUACUGGAAACGGUAGCUAAUACCGCAUACCAUCGGAUGUGCCCAGAUGGGAUUAGCUAGUAGGUGGGGUAAAGGCUCACCUAGGCGACGAUCCCUAGCUGGUCUGAGAGGAUGACGAGCAAGACGGGAACUGAGUAACGGGCCAGAAUCAUCCGGGGGGCCGUGUGGGGGAAUAUUGCACAGUGGGGGCGAGCAUGAUUGAGCCAUGACGAGUGGAUGAGUAAUGCCGUCGGGUUGUAAAGUACUUUCAGCGGGGAGGCGUUACCCGCAGAAGAAGUACCGGCUGACUCCGUGCCAGCAGCCGCGGGAAUUC